AAGCAAUUUGCUCAUAGCCAUAGCUUUCUUGUGAAAGUAGGAUAUUAACCCAGGUGUCUUGGUGCUGGAGAACAGAACUGGCCAGAGUCCAUCCUGUCUCCCACCGGCAUCCCAUUACGAAAUGAACACAGAAAAGGCAGGUCUGCAAUGCCAACAUCUAGUAUCUAUCCCAAAGACCAGGGAGAAAGGAAGGAAAGAUUCUGGUUCUGUCCUCUUCCCCAAGGCAAGGCUGGCUGCCCUACCAACAGAGGCAAAGAGAAGAGUGUGCAAGGCUGGCUGCCCUCCCAACAGAGGCAAAGAGGAGUGUGUGUUGAAAUAUCCAUUGAAUCCCUGAGACAACUGGAUCCUGGCCCAUUGAAUCAUAAACUCAAAUCUCACAUCAUAACCCCAAAUGACCUGUUACUCACCAUGUGGCCCAGCUGUCUUCAAACUCACCAGCCUCCUGCCUUAGCCUUCUAAAUGCUUGGAUUACAGGCAUGACCCACCAUAACUGGCUUUGUUUUAGUUUCAGAGAAGAUGAAACUGAUGUGCGUCAAAAAGCUGGUAGUCUGUCAAGGAAAUGAGCUGAACAUGUCUGUGUACAGCUUUUGUGCCAUCCCUGGAUGAGCGAGCUGUCUGCCUCUAUGUUCUCCACAAAAUGGAAUAUAGCUGUACACCCAAGCCAAGUUAUGGAGGCUGGGAAGACCUAGAAUGUGGCAUCACUAUUUGCUGAAAUUUUUAAUAUAAUGCCUCUUAGCCUGGUUUGGAGAAAACGUCACAGAGAGGCACCAUUUGUUGUGGUUUUACAUGAAAAUUUUCUGACCCUGAACCUGGUUUGAUGGAAAUCAUUUGCUGAGGAAACCAUGCCGAUUACCGACCGAGCUCUCAAUGGAAAAAUGCAGUCGGCGUGAACCACGCACGAACACAGCAGAGAAAGAAGAAAACACACACCACGAGGAACCCUAAUAGGACAAUACAUUAUAAGCCUCAUGGUACAUCCACUUGGUGUGCUGGGAGAGUCAGGAUGAGGACCUGAGAAGAACAGCAGCUUGAACCUGACUUCAUUUAACAGCCCACUGCCCUCUUGCCAAGAACCCAUCACAGACCUUCCCAGAAGAGAGGGAUGAGCCUCACCUAUGAAUAAGUCCUCAGAAACUCAAAUUUGAUUCUAAUGGAUUGUUUUCUCAGAAAGACUGAGCAUGUCCCCCCACAUCUCUGUCAUUUCCCACAGUAGUAACCUCUGCAGAUGCCACAUAGAAAACAAAACAAAACAAAAAAACAUGAGGUUGGUGGGCAGAUAGGCAGGGUAUAAACAAACAGCCUUGUAACCCAGAAGCUGUGUGAUAUACAGUAAACUUCACAACACUGAAAAGAUGUCCUAUCUGUUAAAAUGGGGUAAUAACAACUACCCGAAUGUUUAGGAAUAGAACUUCAAUAAAUGAUACAUUUUAUAGUACAGCAGACCAUCCUGUAAAGGUUUCAUCCUUCACUGUGGUGAUAAAUAUCCCAAACCACAUUGAAAAGCAUUGCAUCUACAUUUAUCUACACUGUAACUGUACUGUAAAUCAUGGGGGAGGGGAGAAUCAUAAAAACACCACCUGUCACCGUGUCAUUAAAGCAAGUUGGAAGUGAUACUUACAGAAACACAGCAAGAGCACCCCCAGUCACACAGUUCAAUCUCUUAGCAAGCGUUUUCUUUCUAGCCCAGUGGUUCUCAGUUUGGAAUUUUUGGCACUGCCUAGAGAUAGUUUUGUUGUUAAAACUGAGAAAAGAGCCGGGCGUGGUGGCACACGCCUUUAAUCCCAGCACUCAGGAGGCAGAGGCAGG
rnacentral:lncRNA from 1 species